UACGGAGGGAGCUAGCGUUGUUCGGAAUUACUGGGCGUAAAGCGCGCGUAGGCGGCUUUGUAAGUUAGAGGUGAAAGCCCGGGGCUCAACCCCGGAACAGCCUUUAAGACUGCAUCGCUAGAAUCCGGGAGAGGUGAGUGGAAUUCCCGGUGUAGCGGUGAAAUGCGCAGAUAUCGGGAAGAACACCUAUGGCGAAGGCAGCUCUCUGGGACGGUACUGACGCUGAGACGCGAAAGCGUGGGGAGCGAACAGG
rnacentral:rRNA from 1 species